ACUAAAGGAGUCACAACCACCCAUAAGAGAUGGCUGUAAUUUUUUCUUUUUUCUUUUUUUUUUUUGUUUUUUCGAGACAGGGUUUCUCUGUGUAGCCCUGGCUGUCUUGGAACUCACUCUGUAGACCAGGCUGGCCUCGAACUAAAAAAUCCGCCUGCCUCUGCCUCCUGAGUGCUGGGAUUAAAGGAGUGACACCACCAUGAGAGAUGGCUGUAACUUUUUCUUUAUGAGAUACAGUCUGGCCAUGAGCUUGUGACCCUCCUGAGAGCAGGAUGCCAGGUGUGUGCUACCUUUUCUGGUUUAUGUGGUGCUGAGGUUUAAACAGUAUUCCUCCAAGCUAAGCACACACUCUACCUACUGUAUCAUGUAAUUUUAAACAACCAUGAAAGAGAAUAGAGGCUAGAUAGAGCACAUGUGAGGCUGCUGUUCCAAUCUCAGAAGAGACUACAAUGGAAGAGCCAGGUAUAAUGACUCAAGUCUAUAACCCAGCACUUAAGAGACUGAGACAGGAGGUUUGCCAUGAAUUUAAAUGAAACCUGGAAUGCAGAUUAAGACCCUGUCUAACAUAAACCAACCGUUAAGGAUUUCAGGGGGUCCAGAUCAGUUGACAGCUGCCUGGCUGCUCUGCAAAGCCUUCAUCCAGCUCCCAACACUGAAUACACUAAGCUCUGGUGGCCAACAGUCACAGCACAAUGGAAGGAGACAGGAGGAUCAGGAGUUGAAGAUAUUUUCAUCUAUACAAGUUCCAGGACAAUGUAGGAUACAAGAGACCCUGUCUCAGAAUUAAUUAAAAAUUAUAAAGGGGCAUUGUGCUUUUUCCUGUCAACGUUAGAACAAUGUAUACUAAGAAAACAGAUACAACAGUGAGGCCGCACCUGCUUGUAAUCCCAGGACCUGGGAGAGAUGCAGGGCAAUGGUGGGUUUGGUUUUGUAGCUGGUUGGGGGCUAUAAAGGGAGGCAGUCUCGCAGUAUCUCUCUGUCUCCCCCCCCCCCCAACUACGAAAGCACAGGAGCAGCCAGAGGAGAAGGACCCACUUGAGGAGUCCUAGGUGGCUUUAUCGGUGUCUGCACCACUUCUGUCCUGUCAGCUGUCACUCCACCACAUUCUGUCCUCACAGAAGGAAGUAACAGAAAUCCUACCUACUAACUGCUGUUGAUGUUAAACUCACUGGGUAGCCCAGGAUAGCCUCAAACUCACUGUUACCCUCCAGCCUUAGCCUCCCAAAGUGCUGGCAUUAUGAGUGUGUAAGCCACCAUGUUACUCUUCUUUCUUCUAUAUUUACAACAUUUUCAUAGACCUGAGAUAAUUUCAAAUAAGACUUACUUAAAAAUGCACACAGUUGCAGGCUGGAGAGAUGGCUCAAUGAUUAAGAGCACUGACUGCUCUGCCAGAGGUUCUGAGUUCAAUUCCCAGCAACCACAUGGUAGCUCACAAUCCGUAACGUAAUCUGAUGCCCUCUUCUAGUGUGUGUCUAAAGACAGCUUCAGUGUACUCAUAUAAUAAAUAAAUAAAUCU
rnacentral:lncRNA from 1 species